rnacentral:lncRNA from 1 species
AAAAGAAGAGUACCAAAAGGUUGAGAGCCAGCUUCCCGCAAAGAAAAAAAAAGGUCCAGGGUCUUCCAUCAGGCGAAGAUCUUCUCCGGUGAGCGCUGCGGCAUGGACUUCCCUGGUGAAGCUUUGCUUCGCCCGAGCCUUAAAGCUGCGCCCUGCCAUGUAGCUUGCGACGGUGACCGUCGCAUUCCCUGUGCUCAGCCGGACAGUCAUCAUGAUCCUUGCUGCUGAACAGUGUUGCCGGUGUGGAGGGCAGAGGCCAUUCAGUGGAUGCCACACAGAUUGGCUGGGUAUUUUUUGCAGACUCGGUUACAUCCCACAGGCACCGCUGCUCGGAAAUGCAGGGAUGGAACUGAACAUGUCUUGGCCUGCACCACGCCUUCCACCCUCUGCUGACCAAACUCUUAUUAAGCUGGUUGAAAGGUUUCUGCUUUGGCAAAAUUUGCGCCGUAUUCCUGGAAGAAGAGAAACAACAAGCCAAGCACUGAAACUCUGGAGGGCAAGACAUCAAUUUCUUGUUAAUAAUUAAGUUGAGAUAGUGUUUCAUGGAGCUUUUUUGAACAUAAUUAACAAGGAAGCUAUUCUAUACCGAUCAACUCAAAAAAAAAAUGGUUGCACAGGUAGUCUACCUCUAAAUGAUGGCACACAUUAUAUGUACAAGCAUGCAAUCCGAUUGAAUCAUACCUGACAGAUGUGUUUCAUGCUUCCAGGUUCACCUAUCCACCAAGAGUCUGUCCUGAACUUUCAGACGUUCUACAUAAGAUGUGUAAACAAAAAGUUGUAUCAUCAGAACAAUGACUUAGAUGCCAAAGUGAAGGUAGUUAUAUGUGAUACAAGAGUAGUUUUUAUAGAAUUUUACCUGUUUGGUGGAAAAUGUCCAUAUAAAUGAUCACAGGCUGCACCGUGGAUAUUGUCGUAUAUACCAGCUGUGCCUCACUGUAUACAGCAUAGUGUUUUGGUACCAGACUGACCCACCGUUGGAAAAAUACAACAGCAGUGAAUCAUGCUGGGACACUAAAUCCAGCUAUAACCAACUUCUUUCUCAGUGGCAGUUCUCCUAAUUUGACUUCUUAGACUAUCAAUGACGCCCCAUCUAUUUGUUGAUCCAUGUACACUGAUGAGGUGCAGAUAAGGCAUUUUAGCAGAAGGAUUUAUGGCGAUUAACUGACUUGCUGCAUGCUCUGCCAACUUAUCAUUGCCACUCAAUCUGCAGCUACUCAAGAGAGAGGUCCAUAUUGCUGAAUCAGGUUCAAAUGGCAUUGACUUAACUAACCCUUCGGCCUCCUCAACCAUGCCUCUCCUACAAAAUAGAUCAACCAUGCAAGCAUAGUGCGUUAUAUUAGGCACAAUUCCAUGAUCGCGCGUCAUCGUGUCAAAGAAAUGUCUUGCUUCCUCUAAAAGACUCAUGUGGUUACAUGCAGACAGUACACCAAGAAAUGUGAUAUCAUUGGGAUCAACUUGUGCCCUCUUCAUAUUCUCGAACAUUUCAAUAGCAUUUUCACCAAGGCUACUGAAUGCAAAUCCAUGAAUUAUUGUAUUCCAUGUAACCACAUCUCUCUUAAUCAUCUGAUCAAAAAUAUUUUGGGCUGUAACCAUUUCGCCACAUUUGCAAUAUAGGCUAAUGAGUGAAUUCUGAAUUGGUAAACAUAACUCGAGUCCAAGCUUGAUAGUUGCGGCAUGAAACUGCUGACCAUGAACAAUCAUAGAAUAGUGUGCAAAACAGCUUAUGAGGCUAGAAACAACUGACUCGCUUGGGCGCACAUAUGUUAAUAGCAUUUUCUUGUACAUCCCAAUUGCAUCAUCAGUUAAACCAUUUUGAGCGAGCCCAGUAAUUAAACAGCUCCAAGUUACUGAAUCACGAGAAGGUGAUUCAUUGAAGAGCCUGUAAGCUUCAGUAGCCUCGCCUUGAUGAAGAAAACCAGCUAUCAUCACAUUAUAAGUGACAACAGUCCUUUUGUUCAUCCUAUGGAAAAGGUCCAGUGCAUCAUCCAGAUAUCCUUCUUUCAUGUAUCCAAAGAGUAAAGAUGUGCAAGACAUUACAUCUGUUUGGGGCAUACUAUAAAACAUAUCCCGUGCUUUAUCUAGCAUUCCGUUGUCUACAAACCAUGACAUCAAAGCAGUAGCUGCUUCCACGUUCUUCUCAGGCAUCCUUGAGUAUAACUCAGUAGCAUCAGUAAUUCUUCCAUCUCUGAUAUAGCCAUUAAUCAUCGAGUUCCACGAGACCUUAUCUCUUUCAGUCAUGGAAUCAAAAAGUUCUCUAGCCUCAUCAAUCUUGUCUGCAUAAAUAUAGCCACAUAUGAUGGCAUUCCAUGAACCGACAUGCUUUCUGUCCAUUUUAUCAAACUCCAAUUGUGCUUCAUCCAUGUCCAAGGAGUUACAGUACAUCGCAACUAAUGAUGCCUCGAUAAUCAGGUCAAGAACAAAUCCACACUUCACAGAAAACCCAUGAAUGCAUCUACCUCCUCCGAUACUUUUCAGACCAGCAUACGCAUUCACAACCUUAACUAGAACUGCAUUUGUCAUUUCCUCCCCAUUCCGCAUCAAUCUUCUGAACAGUUCAACUGCCUCUCUGAAUCGCUGAUGGUGGACAAGCCCUCCUAUCAUGACACACCACGACACAGAAUUCUUCACGGGCAUCGAGUCAAACAGCUCCAACGCCAGCUCCACCUCGUGCACCGUAACAUAGCCCUUUACCAUGGCCGUCCAGGACACGACAUUGCGACCGGGCAUCUCAUCGAAAACCCUGCGGGCGUCUGCUACCCGAUGGUUCAUCACGAGGCCUGAUAGAAGAGCAUUCCACAAGGCCACAUUUGGCGUGUCGACGUCAUCAAAGACUCGCUGCAGGCAACCGAAAACCCCACAGUUGGCGUACAGGGUGACGAGAGAGGCGCCCACGAACACAUUACCCGUGGAGCAGGACUUGAGCGCGAGGCCAUGGACGCAUCGCCCCAGCUCCAGAGCCUCCAGCCGCGCGACGGCGGACAGCACGGUGGAGAAGGAGGUGUGGUCCGGCCGGAGCCCGCGACGCCUCAACUCCAGGAAGGCGUAUGCAGCCUCCUGGUGCGCGCCCUCCCGCGCGUGCGCGGCCAUGAGGGAGUUCCAGGACACCACGUCGCGCCGCGGCAUUCCGUCGAACACCUCUCGAGCAGCGCCCGGCCUGCCGGCCCUCAGGUGGGCGCCCAUCAGCCUGUUCCCGGAAGCGAUGCCCUUGUCGUGGGAGCAGCCACAGAGCGCGCGCGCCGCGUCCGCCAGCGACUUGGGAGGCCGGGAGUCCACCGUUCCGAAGACGCCGGCGCGCCGCGCCGUGACACGCAUGCCGAAGAAGCUCCCGCGGCGCUGGUAGGAGGCGCGAAUAGCAGUGUGCUCCUUUUUUUGGAGGAACAGCUUCGUAAAACAGCUCUUCAUGGGCCGCGCCACGAACAUGUAAUGUUUUUUCUUUUUAAUAUAAGUAUAUCAAAAUUUCUAUAUAUUAUCUACAAAAUUUAUAAAUCAGAUUUAAAAUAGAAAGUGUUAUGUGUUCACAUAUAUGCGAUAAUAAAUGUUCCUAUAUUUGAAAACAGUUGCUCACAAAAUUAGAAAACCGAUGUUCACAUGUGUGAAAAAAAUUGCUCUAUAUACUUCAGAAAAGCCAUUCAUGGAAUGAAAAGCUGUGAACUGGAUUUCCGCGGAUAACAGCAUGAAUGUGGAGGAGAUGCAAGCCUCAUGACAGGCCACAAGGUUGGACCCGAUAUUGCAAAAGUCGGGCAUGCGACUUACCUUUGUAUGUGCUUGACGGGUGGCUCUGUGCUAGUUUCCAUCAAAUAAAAAAUGGUUUAUUACUCUCGGCUUCGGCGUUAAAGAUGCACAGAAGAUACUGAAAAUUCGAGCAUGCCAGGGUGACUUCUACCUUUUUGCCUUUUUACUGACCUGUAGGUGAUGCCCACAGCCCACCUAAGAUGAUCGCGGAGUUGGAUGAGGAAGAAAUAAGCCGGGAACAAAAUGUUUGCCUUCUCCAAAGAAAAAAAGCAUACAAAUAUUUUGUUUUAACCAUGCAUAAGAACCGCAUGUGGUCUAUCAGGGAGAAGGAAAACCGGGGAAAAACCCCAAGGAGUACAGAAUACACGACCAGAUGAUUUGAAGGAGAACCUCGGCAAACUCUUCCAGACACACAGACAAGGAAAGGAAAGAAAGAAAAACAAAGAUUUUUAUCCGAUGAAUCAAUCAACUUCCUAGUAGGAAAAAAAAAUUCCCUUCAGGAAUACCUUGGAGGCAAAGAGGCCCUAAAUUCACACCAAGAAGUACACAGGCAUGUAAAAACUUGAGGGGGGGCUGUAAUUGCGUGGAGUUUAUUACGUGCCCGCUGUUGGAUCCGAUGCAAAAUUAAACGUCGCUUGGCUUCCCUGCCUUGCGCAUGCCAGCCAGGUGAGGGGAUCCCGAUCCGUGAUGGCGCGGUACUGUGGUUGCUGGUGCCUUGAUGAGGAUGCGUGGAGGAGGGAGCAGAGCAGGGGACACUGUGGCCGACGGCAACGUACCGCGAACUGUACGUACGUGACCGUGAGUGCGCCAUCGAUGCCAUGCCAUGUGCGCACACACACACGCUGACACGCACCUCACCAGCGUCGCGACUCGCGAGAGGCCACGAUCGGCGUACAUGGCCGCAUCAUCGAUGCGUGAAUUGAAGGCAGGCAGCCCCAAACCCAAACCAGCCCAGCAGCCCUGCCUGCCACCGCCCGCCCCAGCAGCAGUCGAUGGAGAGGACGGCCAACGGUGCCGCCCGCCCGAUCCGAUCCGAUCGUACGGGUCGAGUCGGCCGAGCCGAGGGAGGGGCCGGGGCGUCCUCCCUUCAUUCUUCAAUGAUGACACCUACGUGCGUGCGUACGUUGAUGCCCUCCACUCCACUGUGCAUCCCCAUGCCGCCGGAGUGCCGGGCACUGGUCACCCAUAAAACCCUCCGGCAUCGCCAUCGAGUCCACCAUAAACUCCUCCGUCGUCCCAGUAGGCCAGCACGGGGGGGCUCCGGCCGGCUCCAUCAUCAAGGAGGUUAGGUUCCUUCCACCGGCAGGCCCGGCACGGCGGCUGGUGGGCCGUGAUGGGUCAUGGGCGCGCGCCGGGCGGUCAAGGUCGGGUUCGGGUUUGGGUCUGUUUGUUGCUGGCAUGACACGACGGGCCAGGCACACCAAGUGCGGGCGGGCGGGUUUCCUUGAGCAGUUGGUCGGUCUGCGGCGUCGCCUGCGCACCUAACGCCAGCUGUUAUCAUCCCACACAGGCGGCUGCCAAAGUGGCAUGCCCCAACACAUCUGUUUGCUGGUGAUGAUUCCGCACCAACACAUCCGGGCACGCAGUGCCUGACCCAAUGCGCGCCCGCCGCUGCAUGCCAUUGUUCACGGCCGGUAAGGGAAUCUACCUAGGGGUACCAGCUGCCGCCGCUGCGUCAAAUCCGACGUCCAACCUGCGUGCUACGAACCACCACUCAUGAGAGCGGCAUUGCACAUGGGAGCUUCAGUUUUUUUUUCCCCCGAAAAAGAGACUAGGAACGCAGUCUUCACGUCUCCACCUCCCAGUCACGCACAGCAAGGAGCUGUGCUGUGGUCGUGCCUUCUUGUUCACCAAUCAAAGCAGCAUCGCAGCGACCAAACGCCAGCCAGAGCCAGGCAAGAGACAAUCCUCCGGAAAUUCACUGCGCCAGCUGCGCACUCUGAGACAACUUCAACCGACACCCCACAAGAAAGAGCCCGUCUUCUAUCCCUCAAAAAAAAAAAAAACGAGCCCGUCUCCUCGGAGUAGCGAGCACAACAUAACUAGGGUCAAGAAAUAAAGCCCAGAGUAAAAUCAUUUGACAGAAACAACGACGGACCAUUUUCAAGCAUGGGAGGAAACGCAGGAGAGCUGCGCUGCGAUUCGAUUCAACCAACAAGACAAGAGAAGAGAGGGGGGUACUAGGUAGGAAUGUACAAAUCAUCAGGCUGUUACAAGGGAUAGGAUUUCGCCUCCACACACACAUCUGGGCUAACUUAGUACACAAAUUAUUUAUCCAUUUCGCUCGGCAUCCAAACACAUGUCAAAAAACACAAACAAUCCCAGCCGCCGCUGCCUGCAUUCUUCCUUCUUCACCAGUCAGCUCAAAUCACUAUCACCACACACAAGCCCCUGCCUUGUCCCAUAGUCGAAAUUCCACCAUUCUCCAUCCUCCAAAUUACUGAAGUACCACCAGUGAAGCUCCUCGUUCCACCCAAGGCUCUCAAAUUCCACCAUCUUCUCCCAAAACAGUUUGAACAAGCUGCCACCAUGUUCGUUGCAGUCCCCGAAUCAGAAUGUGUGUGUGGCAUAUAAGAUGCAGGUUGGGCUAUGCGGCUUGGCUUAUCCCCGGCACAAAAUAAUUCCUUCAAUCAACCAUUUAUCCCCGGCAAGAUUAGAUUUUGCAUCCCAUAAGAACCCAUGCUUGCCGUAUUUAACAUCUGAAGCGGUUAUGCACUCUCGACCGGGAACAACCCAAGGUUUCCUUCGCCAUGCGCUCGCUUUGGCCGCCACGUUGUAUGAGCCUUGACCACAUCCGCUCCAGACUCCAGCUGGAGCAGAUGGUCGCACUGGAUGGCAGAGUCUGGGCUGCCAUCCACGCAUUCACCCGAAACGUUGGUAAGUGACUGCAGCACGCUAUCACGGCAACACUCCUUCCUGUAAUCCAGUGUCAUGCUUGCAAGCUCAUGCUUUUCCAGUAUGGAAAUCGGAGCACUCUGAAAAGGGAAUAAAUAAAGCUCAGGAAUCUUAAGCAG